rnacentral:rRNA from 1 species
AGCAGCCGCGGUAAUUCCAGCUCCAAUAGUGUAUAUUAAAGUUGUUGCAGUUAAAAAGCUCGUAGUUGAAUUUCGGGGUUAGUAGGUUGGUCAUGCCUCUGGUAUGUACCGGUCUCACUGAUUCCUCCUUCCUGAUGAACCUUAAUGCCAUUAAUUUGGUGUUUUGGGGAAUUUGGACUGUUACUUUGAAAAAAUUAGAGUGUUUAAAGCAAGCUAACGCUUGAAUACAUUAGCAUGGAAUAAUGAAAUAGGACGUUCGAUCCUAUUUUGUUGGUUUCUAGGAUUGACGUAAUGAUUAAUAGGGAUAGUUGGGGGCAUUAGUAUUCAAUUGUCAGAGGUGAAAUUCUUGGAUUUAUUGAAGACUAACUACUGCGAAAGCAUUUGCCAAGGAUGUUUUCAUUAAUCAAGAACGAAAGUUAGGGGAUCGAAGACGAUCAGAUACCGUCGUAGUCUUAACCAUAAACUAUGCCGACUAGGGAUCGGAUGAUGUUAAUUUUUAAUGACUCAUUCGGCGCCUUAC